UACGGAGGGUGCAAGCGUUAUCCGGAUUCACUGGGUUUAAAGGGUGCGUAGGCGGGCUCGUAAGUCAGUGGUGAAAGCCCGGGGCUUAACUCCGGAACUGCCGUUGAUACUGCAAGCCUUGAGUACAGUUGAGGUGGGCGGAAUACAUCAUGUAGAGGUGAAAUUCUUAGAUAUGAUGUAGAACACCGAUUGCGAAGGCAGCUCACUAAAGUGUAACUGACGCUGAGGCACGAAAGCGUGGGGAUCAAACAGG
rnacentral:rRNA from 1 species